GAUGAACGCUGGCGGCGUGCCUAAUACAUGCGAGUCGAGCGAACGGACGAGAAGCUUGCUUUUCUGAUGUUAGCGGCGGACGGGUGAGUAACACGUGGAUAACCUACCUAUAAGACUGGGAUAACUUCGGGAAACCGGAGCUAAUACCGGAUAAUAUUUUGAACCGCAUGGUUCAAAAGUGAAAGACGGUCUUGCUGUCACUUAUAGAUGGAUCCGCGCUGCAUUAGCUAGUUGGUAAGGUAACGGCUUACCAAGGCAACGAUGCAUAGCCGACCUGAGAGGGUGAUCGGCCACACUGGAACUGAGACACGGUCCAGACUCCUACGGGAGGCAGCAGUAGGGAAUCUUCCGCAAUGGGCGAAAGCCUGACGGAGCAACGCCGCGUGAGUGAUGAAGGUCUUCGGAUCGUAAAACUCUGUUAUUAGGGAAGAACAUAUGUGCAAGUAACUGUGCACAUCUUGACGGUACCUAAUCAGAAAGCCACGGCUAACUACGUG
rnacentral:rRNA from 1 species